rnacentral:rRNA from 1 species
UUAAGCGACUAAGCGUACACGGUGGAUGCCCUGGCAGUCAGAGGCGAUGAAGGACGUGCUAAUCUGCGAAAAGCGUCGGUAAGGUGAUAUGAACCGUUACAGCCGGCGAUGUCCGAAUGGGGAAACCCAGUGCAAUUCGUUGCACUAUCGUUAACUGAAUACAUAGGUUAACGAGGCGAACCGGGGGAACUGAAACAUCUAAGUACCCCGAGGAAAAGAAAUCAACCGAGAUUCCCCCAGUAGCGGCGAGCGAACGGGGAGCAGCCCAGAGUCUGAAUCAGCUUGUGUGUUAGUGGAACGGUCUGGAAAGUCCGACGGUACAGGGUGAUAGUCCCGUACACCAAAAUGCACAGGCUGUGAACUCGAAGAGUAGGGCGGGACACGUGGUAUCCUGUCUGAAUAUGGGGGGACCAUCCUCCAAGGCUAAAUACUCCUGACUGACCGAUAGUGAACCAGUACCGUGAGGGAAAGGCGAAAAGAACCCCGGCGAGGGGAGUGAAAAAGAACCUGAAACCGUGUACGUACAAGCAGUGGGAGCACCUUCGGGUGUGACUGCGUACCUUUUGUAUAAUGGGUCAGCGACUUAUAUUCUGUAGCAAGGUUAACCGUAUAGGGGAGCCGCAGGGAAACCGAGUCUUAACUGGGCGUUAAGUUGCAGGGUAUAGACCCGAAACCCGGUGAUCUAGCCAUGGGCAGGUUGAAGGUUGGGUAACACUAACUGGAGGACCGAACCGACUAAUGUUGAAAAAUUAGCGGAUGACUUGUGGCUGGGGGUGAAAGGCCAAUCAAACCGGGAGAUAGCUGGUUCUCCCCGAAAGCUAUUUAGGUAGCGCCUCGUGAAUUCAUCUUCGGGGGUAGAGCACUGUUUCGGCUAGGGGGUCAUCCCGACUUACCAACCCGAUGCAAACUACGAAUACCGAAGAAUGUUAUCACGGGAGACACACGGCGGGUGCUAACGUCCGUCGUGAAGAGGGAAACAACCCAGACCGCCAGCUAAGGUCCCAAAGUCAUGGUUAAGUGGGAAACGAUGUGGGAAGGCACAGACAGCCAGGAUGUUGGCUUAGAAGCAGCCAUCAUUUAAAGAAAGCGUAAUAGCUCACUGGUCGAGUCGGCCUGCGCGGAAGAUGUAACGGGGCUAAACCAUGCACCGAAGCUGCGGCAGCGACACUAUGUGUUGUUGGGUAGGGGAGCGUUCUGUAAGCCUGCGAAGGUGACCUGUGAGGGUUGCUGGAGGUAUCAGAAGUGCGAAUGCUGACAUAAGUAACGAUAAAGCGGGUGAAAAGCCCGCUCGCCGGAAGACCAAGGGUUCCUGUCCAACGUUAAUCGGGGCAGGGUGAGUCGACCCCUAAGGCGAGGCCGAAAGGCGUAGUCGAUGGGAAACAGGUUAAUAUUCCUGUACUUGGUGUUACUGCGAAGGGGGGACGGAGAAGGCUAUGUUAGCCGGGCGACGGUUGUCCCGGUUUAAGCAUGUAGGCUGGUUGUCCAGGCAAAUCCGGAUAAUCAAGGCUGAGGUGUGAUGACGAGGCACUACGGUGCUGAAGUAACAAAUGCCCUGCUUCCAGGAAAAGCCUCUAAGCAUCAGGUAACAUCAAAUCGUACCCCAAACCGACACAGGUGGUCAGGUAGAGAAUACCAAGGCGCUUGAGAGAACUCGGGUGAAGGAACUAGGCAAAAUGGUGCCGUAACUUCGGGAGAAGGCACGCUGGUGUGUAGGUGAAGCCCCUGCGGGUGGAGCUGAGACCAGUCGAAGAUACCAGCUGGCUGCAACUGUUUAUUAAAAACACAGCACUGUGCAAACACGAAAGUGGACGUAUACGGUGUGACGCCUGCCCGGUGCCGGAAGGUUAAUUGAUGGGGUUAUCCGUAAGGAGAAGCUCUUGAUCGAAGCCCCGGUAAACGGCGGCCGUAACUAUAACGGUCCUAAGGUAGCGAAAUUCCUUGUCGGGUAAGUUCCGACCUGCACGAAUGGCGUAAUGAUGGCCAGGCUGUCUCCACCCGAGACUCAGUGAAAUUGAACUCGCUGUGAAGAUGCAGUGUACCCGCGGCAAGACGGAAAGACCCCGUGAACCUUUACUAUAGCUUGACACUGAACAUUGAGCCUUGAUGUGUAGGAUAGGUGGGAGGCUUUGAAGCGUGGACGCCAGUCUGCGUGGAGCCAACCUUGAAAUACCACCCUUUAAUGUUUGAUGUUCUAACGUUGGCCCCUUACCGGGGUUGCGGACAGUGUCUGGUGGGUAGUUUGACUGGGGCGGUCUCCUCCCAAAGCGUAACGGAGGAGCACGAAGGUUAGCUAAUCCUGGUCGGACAUCAGGAGGUUAGUGCAAUGGCAUAAGCUAGCUUGACUGCGAGCGUGACGGCGCGAGCAGGUGCGAAAGCAGGUCAUAGUGAUCCGGUGGUUCUGAAUGGAAGGGCCAUCGCUCAACGGAUAAAAGGUACUCCGGGGAUAACAGGCUGAUACCGCCCAAGAGUUCAUAUCGACGGCGGUGUUUGGCACCUCGAUGUCGGCUCAUCACAUCCUGGGGCUGAAGUAGGUCCCAAGGGUAUGGCUGUUCGCCAUUUAAAGUGGUACGCGAGCUGGGUUUAGAACGUCGUGAGACAGUUCGGUCCCUAUCUGCCGUGGGCGCUGGAGAAUUGAGGGGGGCUGCUCCUAGUACGAGAGGACCGGAGUGGACGCAUCACUGGUGUUCGGGUUGUCAUGCCAAUGGCACUGCCCGGUAGCUAAAUGCGGAAGAGAUAAGUGCUGAAAGCAUCUAAGCACGAAACUUGCCCCGAGAUGAGUUCUCCCUGAGACUUUAAGUCUCCUGAAGGAACGUUGAAGACGACGACGUUGAUAGGCCGGGUGUGUAAGCGCAGCGAUGCGUUGAGCUAACCGGUACUAAUGAACCGUGAGGCUUAACCUU